GAUGAACGCUAGCGGCAGGCUUAAUACAUGCAAGUCGAGGGGCAGCAGGUUUGUAGCAAUACAAAUGCUGGCGACCGGCAAACGGGUGCGGAACACGUACGCAACCUUCCUUUAACUGGAAGAUAGCCCACCGAAAGGUGGAUUAAUAUUCCAUAAUAUAACUGAAUGGCAUCAUUUAGAUAUUAAAGCUCAGGCGGUUAAAGAUGGGCGUGCGUCUGAUUAGGUAGUUGGCGGGGUAACGGCCCACCAAGCCUGCGAUCAGUAGCUGAUGUGAGAGCAUGAUCAGCCACACGAGCACUGAGACACGGGCCCGACUCCUACGGGAGGCAGCAGUAAGGAAUAUUGGUCAAUGGACGCAAGUCUGAACCAGCCAUGCCGCGUGGAGGAUGAAGGCCCUCUGGGUUGUAAACUUCUUUUCUUUGGGACGAAACCCCUGUUUCUACGGGGACUGACGGUACCAGAGGAAUAAGCACCGGCUAACUCCGUGCCAGCCGCCGCAGUAACAC
rnacentral:rRNA from 1 species